UACGGGGGGGGCAAGCGUUGUUCGGAAUUACUGGGCGUAAAGGGCUCGUAGGUGGCCAACUAAGUCAGACGUGAAAUCCCUCGGCUUAACCGGGGAACUGCGUCUGAUACUGGAUGGCUUGAGUUCGGGAGAGGGAUGCGGAAUUCCAGGUGUAGCGGUGAAAUGCGUAGAUAUCCGGAGGAACACCGGUGGCGAAGGCGGCUUCCUGGACCGACACUGACGCUGAGGCGCGAAAGCUAGGGGAGCAAACGGG
rnacentral:rRNA from 1 species